UAUUUUACAUGUAUACGAGGGUUUCUGUGAAUUGCUUCUUGUAUGCUUGUUUAUUGAAACUCUCCAAGUCCUGAAUCUGCAUUUCUGUACGAUUUAAAAUGGACUAUCAAAUGGCUCUUCCAUCAAAAUUCUAAUUGGGUGUUAUCUGCACAGCCUAAUUAUGGAGACAAACUGAAACAUCGUAUCUCCUGCAAUGUCCAAAUGCAUGAAGGAACUUGAAGUUUCAAGGUUGAAUACUUCUGGUUUAAAAUGCGAAGAAUCUCAAACUACAAAUGGAUUGGAGACUUCAUUCUUGGAGCUUUGAAAUGUUCUGUCCACAAACGGGAGAGCAACCAAUUAAUGGACUUUAUGCACUUCAGUCGACAUGGAGAACACUGAUCGAAUUUUGCCUUGAAGUGCUCCUUGUUAAAGAUGUGCAUCCUGGCAAUUCAUCAAUAUUUCGGAACUCAAAUCUUGUCAAUUCGAGAGGUGAAAACUAAAUAUUGAAGCAUCAUAUGCUUGGAUGAUUUUGGAAGUCGUGUAACAGAAUCGUAUUUCAAUCGAUAUAACAAAGGAGCCAUGAAUCAGUUGAGCUAUAUAAAUUGGUCUUUAAUGGUCAGUUCUUUUCAAGCUUGUACACUUCCAAUUAAAAUUAAAUAUGUAAUGAAUAGUAAAUGUUCCUACUCCAAUAUGAAGGGAACUUCAAUGCACUUAGUCGAAAUGUUUUAAAUUCUCCUUAAAAAAUAAGCAUAAUUAUAGGCGUACUUCAAAUUUUAGUCAUUUCAAGUGAAACGGACAUUCAUUGGGAAUUCCCACUCCUUACAUAGGUUGGAAGUUAACGAUAGCUUUUACCCAUGCCGCUUUCCAUUUAAGGAUCAAAUCGGUAUCGGAAUAUCAAUUAUCAGCGCUGAUCUCCUGCGAUCUUGCAGUAAAUUCCUAAAGACGUUCUUUGAAUAUCUAUUGCUAUAAUAUCUGAAAUCGAGAUGGCAAU